rnacentral:rRNA from 1 species
CCUACGGGAGGCAGCAGUGGGGAAUUUUGGACAAUGGGCGAAAGCCUGAUCCAGCAAUGCCGCGUGUGGGAAGAAGGCCUUCGGGUUGUAAACCACUUUUGUACGGAACGAAACGGCUCGCUUUAAUACAGUGGGCUAAUGACGGUACCGUAAGAAUAAGCACCGGCUAACUACGUGCCGGCAGCCGCGGUAAUACGUAGGGUGCGAGCGUUAAUCGGAAUUACUGGGCGUAAAGCGUGCGCAGGCGGUUAUAUAAGACAGUUGUGAAAUCCCCGGGCUCAACCUGGGAAUUGCAUCUGUGACUGUAUAGCUAGAGUACGGUAGAGGGGGAUGGAAUUCCGCGUGUAGCAGUGAAAUGCGUAGAUAUGCGGAGGAACACCGAUGGCGAAGGCAAUCCCCUGGACCUGUACUGACGCUCAUGCACGAAAGCGUGGGGAGCAAACAGGAUUAGAUACCCUGGUAGUCCACGCCCUAAACGAUGUCAACUGGUUGUUGGGUGCAUAGUACUCAGUAACGAAGACUACGCGUGAGUAGACGCGNGGAGGUACGGCGCGAGUAGAACGACAANAGAGUAGACGGCGUGAGACGNGCCGACGGACGACGACGAGGGAGGAGG